rnacentral:misc_RNA from 1 species
AACGCAUAUUGCGCUCUUUGGUAUUCCGAAGAGCAUGCUUGUUUGAGUAUCAGUAAACACCUCAACCAGAUUUUUUUCUGGAUGGACUUGAGCAAACCCAACAUUGGUCUCUUUCGAGAGGUCGGCGGCGGGUUGCUUGAAAUGCAGGUGCAGCUGUGACAAGAACAGACUGAGCUAAAAGCAUAUCUAAUUUAGUCCGCCUGGCGGAUUAUCUCUAUUUGCUGCAGUUCAACCAAAAGUCGUCUUGGCGAGCUGACUGAUGCAGGAUUUGUCAGACUUUCCUCUCUAAGAGAGGGCUUUCUUUCAAAACUCGAUCUCAAAUCAAGUAAGACUACCCGCUGAACUUAA